rnacentral:rRNA from 1 species
AUUGAACGCUGGCGGCAUGCUUUACACAUGCAAGUCGAACGGUAACAGGGUGCUUGCACCGCUGACGAGUGGCGAACGGGUGAGUAAUGCGUCGGAACGUGCCGAGCAGCGGGGGAUAACGCAGCGAAAGUUGUGCUAAUACCGCAUACGUACUGAGGUAGAAAGUGGGGGACGUUCGGGCCGCACGCUAUCCGAGCGGCCGGCGUCUGAUUAGCUAGUAGGUGAGGUAAAGGCUCACCUAGACGACGAACAGUACCGGGUCUGAGAGGAUGAUCCGCCACACUGGGACUGAGACACGGCCCAGACUCCUACGGGAGGCAGCAGUGGGGAAUUUUGGACAAUGGGCGAAAGCCUGAUCCAGCCAUGCCGCGUGUCUGAAGAAGGCCUUCGGGUUGUAAAGGACUUUUGUCAGGGAGGAAAUCCCUAGUGCUAAUAACACUGGGGGAUGACAGUACCUGAAGAAUAAGCACCGGCUAACUACGUGCCCGCCGCCGCAGUAA